GUUUUAUGUCUGAGAUCUUCCGAAGGACCCACUACUGGCACUAAUGGAACACCUCAUAUUGGAUGGAGAAUCUGCAGAGCUUCAUUACAGAACAUCAGCAUACUAUUUCUGAUCAUCUGACAGCAUUCUGGGUGCACUCACAAUAAUUGGCCCGUGUCAAACAUUGUUCUCUUUCCACUUGUGAUUGGGAAUGACUGCAAGUUGGCCCCACCCUUAUUCUCUGCCAAAUCCUGCUGGUUGCAAAGCUCUCAUUUUUACCACUCUGUGAGAUGGAUUGAAACUGUGAGAAAGUACCAAGUAAUCCCUCCCCAACCUCAGUAAAAGUGAUAUGCAAGAACUGAGCAGAUCACAACAGACUCAACGACAAAUGAAAGCCCAUCCGUCUAGACCAGCUAAUAACUGAAGAAAAGGAAAGGAAACAAAGUUGAUGAAUAAUAGGACCCUGUCAAAGGUGGAGAACCAGAAGGAACAACAUGAGAAAUGAAAGGUAUAACCAUCAAGGGGAGCAAUACAGACUUUGGGCUGGAAAAUGACAGGAUCAAGAAAACAGUAGAGACACAAAGUUGGGAGGUUUGUUGAAAGCACGUGCAACUCCAUGAAAUAAGUUUCAGAGAUCAAGGUGAAACUUCUUCCCCCUUCAGGGUAAACCCUGUCAACAGCAGGAGAUAAAAACCGCAGUCAAUAGCACUGAGCGAAAGAAAACUCUCCACAUCUGGAAAGAACAGCAACGAAGAACAGGAAUUGGCGCGUUCAUGCGCAGCUCCUACCGGGCAUGUUUUGUUUAAUUUCCUCCGUCUUUAUGACAUUUUCCUAUGCUGCUACUCCAGACGUUCAAUAAAACACCUCACCGCCGAGAAACCAUAGGGGAAGGAAAACCUAAAGAAAAUCUGAUGGAAGAUCUGAGAGUGAGAUGACCUCAGCCACGAGCACAGGCCUCAGGAGCGUAUGUUCCGGCCCCUAAGCACCGCUUCCCCGGGUCUCUCCUUGGUCUGUGCGCAUCAACGCUGCCUCGGUGUGCACUCUGAUCCGCCGCCAGACGAACGGGCAUGCUGUCCUUCUGAGCUUGUUUUCUGCAGCCUGUCUUCCUUGCAGUGUCAGAAAGACCACAAAAGGCUGUAUUGUCUAUUCAGUUUUCCAAACUUCAGCCAUCCAGUCCACGAUCAGUUUUUCCCCCGGGGCAGUUGAGAAGUCAUUUCUAUCUUUUUGUUUAUUAAGAAGCAAGAACCAGCUAUGAAUACAAUCUAGAGCAAGAGUAUGGUCUAGCGUAGACAGGGAAGAACCAGAUAUGAGAUAAACAGGUCAAAACCCGAGCCAUGACCUCAGCUGGAAGCAUGAUGGAGAAGCAGGCCAAACGCAGUGCCUAGGGAAAGCCAUCUGUUUAGAAAAAGAUGUCAGAUCGCAGGCUCGGGGCACGCAGGCUUCAGCAGUGGUGGAGCGGGCUCAGCAGUUUGGGCUUCGAGACUUGGAGCACAGGCUCAACAGCUGUGGCGCCCGACCUUAGCUACUCCGCAGCAUGUGGGAUCUUCCUGGAUCAGGAAUUGAACCUGUGUCUCCUGCAUUGGCAGGGGGAUUCUUUACCACCCAGCCACCAGGAAAGCCCAAGAUGUCUUUUCAUUAAUUUUUACAAGAGGUUAAGAACUCUAAAGCCCAAUUGUGAUAAUUCUCUAAACUUUUCUGGGGACAACUCUUUAUUUAAAUAGAGUUUUAAAUAGCCUAAAUUAACUUUUUCCUUCACUACUCUUUCUCCCUGCCAGUUAAAAGAGAAUUUCUUGUCAUCUCUCUAUUGGGAAUAAAGAAAUUCCUUGGCUUUUUUCCUUAUUCAUCAAAUACUUAUUACCUGUAUUCAAUCAGUACAAGUCCUAUGUUAGACACUGAGAUCAGAAUGGUUGUAUUUUUAACUUUUAAAGUUUUAUUAUGGAAAUAGCAUUUAACAUGAGAUCCACCUCUUUACAUUCUUUAAGUGUACAAUAUAUUAUCAUUGACUAUAGGUACAAUAUUGUACAUCAUAGAUACCUCAUAUAAAUGGAAUCAAGCCAUAUCUGUCUUCUGUAGUUGGCUUGUUUCACUUAGUAUCUCCUUCAGGAUUGUUCACAUGAUUUAGUAUUGCAGAAUUCAUAUCUUUUUAAAGGCUACAUAGUAUUCCAUUUGAUGCACAUACCACAGUUUCUUUAUACAUUUAUCUGUUAAUGGAGUUUUAAUUUGUUUCCACAACUGGGCUAUUAUGAAUGCUGCUGCAAUGAACACAGGAGUGGUAAAACCUUUUUGGAUUCUGAUUUCAAUUUUUGGGGGUAAAUCCCAGACGUGGAAUUGCUGGAUCUCAAGAUAUCAUUCUCCACUAAAAGGAACUACAGCUCCUUGGAGGAAUUUCUGAUUCCUGGGCUGGGAAAGGGAAAAAACAGAUCUAUCUUCACUUGAUUUGCUGGCCCUAUCAUUAGAAUUUGCUGAGCCUCCCCCUGCCUUAGGACCUUUGAACUUGCUCUUUUUGUACCUGGAAUGAUCUUCUCUCAAGUUUGCACAUGGCUCUCUGCAUCUUGUUACUUGGUUCUCUUAUGAAAAUAUCCUCAGAGGGUCCUUUCCUGACCACCCUAACACAGAAUUUCACAGCAGAAGAAACUACUAUCACUGAUUUGGAGGAAGAAUGAUAGAGAAAACAUGUAUGUUGUGGAUUGACUAAUCUUGACAGCUCUUUUAAAAUCAAGAAGAAAGCAUUAUUGCUGAGACAGCUUCAAGGAGGUCUUUAGCAUGUAAAGAAAGCAUGCGAGAAUUAACAGCAGUUGGGCUAAGACUUGGGAGAACCAAGGAAUUAUGAGAAUAAAAAAGAAAAACAGGUAGAGCUACGGAAGCAUUGAGGAUGAGAAGCCAGCUCCAAAGGAAGAGAAAAUAAAGAGCCAUGGUGUUUUGAGCAUGCAUCCUGAGUGAAGACAGACAUGUAUAUAUUCAAUUUCUGACUUUGACAUUUUCCAGUUGGGUAAAUGGCUGUGGGGGAGUUCAUUGAACAAACUAAACUUCCUAGUUUUCCAUGUGAAAAAUGAGGAUUUCAGUUUUUGUUGUGAGCAUCCUGAAAUAAAUACUUAGCAAUCAUCAUUAUUAAAUAACUCACUGAGUUACUUAUAACAUGGCUUACUUUGUAAGAAGUACUGUAGACAGCAAUAGGCUGACAGUAUGUAUGGCAUGGAUAUAAAUACUUUGAUAAUGUGAAGACAGUGGAAAGGAAAUUCAAAUUCACAGCAGUAGUCAAGUAACAGAAGACCCCUGGAAGAUGCAUGUGCAGCCUUCAUCCAGACCUGCAGUUUUCUUGGCCCACUUGCUGCUGCGCAGGGGUCUUGACUGGCUACAUCCUGGCCCUGGUUAAUGUGUGCUCCGCUUCCCUGGGCUAUGUUGUCACUUCUCAAGCUCUAGAGGACAAAUGUGCUCACAUUAGUAUCUGACUAGUUUUACAUUUCUCCUAGAAACUGUUCUGAAUUUUCA